rnacentral:tRNA from 34 species
GGGCCCUUAGCUCAGUUGGUAGAGCAAUUCCCUUUUAAGGAAUGGGUCGAUGGUUCGAGUCCAUCAGGGCUCACCA